rnacentral:rRNA from 1 species
UACGAAGGGGGCUAGCGUUGCUCGGAAUCACUGGGCGUAAAGGGUGCGUAGGCGGGUCUUUAAGUCAGAGGUGAAAUCCUGGAGCUCAACUCCAGAACUGCCUUUGAUACUGAGGAUCUUGAGUACGGGAGAGGUGAGUGGAACUGCGAGUGUAGAGGUGAAAUUCGUAGAUAUUCGCAAGAACACCAGUGGCGAAAGGCGGCUCACUGGCCCGUAACUGACGCUGAGGCACGAAAGCGUGGGGAGCAAACAGG